rnacentral:RNase_P_RNA from 1 species
AGGAUGAAUAAUCGCGGCUGUCCGUUCUUUUUUCGAAAAGGCGGCAGGUGAGGAAAGUCCGGGCUUCACAGGGCAGGAUGCCGGAUAACGUCCGGUGGAGGUGACUCCAAGGCCAGUGCAACAGAAAUAAACCGCCCCGGAAGGCUUCGAAAACGAAGCUUUCCGGAAAGGGCCUUCGGGCCUGGUAAGGGUGGAAAGGCAGAGUAAGAGACUACCGCCCGUCUGGUAACAGGCGGGGCACAUGUAAACCCCAUCCGAAGCAAGACCAAACAGAAAGCGACAGGCUUGCCCGGCCUGCUUUCAGGUAGGUUGCUUGAGGCUGCCGGCAACGGCAGUCCUAGAUAGAUGAUUAUUCACGACAUAACCCGGCUUACAGUCCUGCUCAU